rnacentral:rRNA from 1 species
GACGAACGCUGGCGGCGUGCUUAACACAUGCAAGUCGAACGGAGAGGCCCUGCUUUUGUGGGGUGCUCGAGUGGCGAACGGGUGAGUAACACGUGAGUAACCUGCCCUUGACUUUGGGAUAACUUCAGGAAACUGGGGCUAAUACCGGAUAGGAGCUCCUGCUGCAUGGUGGGGGUUGGAAAGUUUCGGCGGUUGGGGAUGGACUCGCGGCUUAUCAGCUUGUUGGUGGGGUAGUGGCUUACCAAGGCUUUGACGGGUAGCCGGCCUGAGAGGGUGACCGGCCAAAUUGGGACUGAGAUACGGCCCAGACUCCUACGGGAGGCAGCAGUGGGGAAUAUUGCACAAUGGGCGGAAGCCUGAUGCAGCAACGCCGCGUGCGGGAUGACGGCCUUCGGGUUGUAAACCGCUUUCGCCUGUGACGAAGCGUGAGUGACGGUAAUGGGUAAAGAAGCACCGGCUAACUACGUG